rnacentral:rRNA from 1 species
AGCAGCCGCCGCGGGAAUACAGAGGGUGCGAGCGUUAAUCGGAUUUACUGGGCGUAAAGCGUGCGUAGGCGGCUAAUUGAGUCGGAUGUGAAAUCCCCGAGCUUAACUUGGGAAUUGCAUUCGAUACUGGUUAGCUAGAGUGUGGGAGAGGAUGGUAGAAUUCCAGGUGUAGCGGUGAAAUGCGUAGAGAUCUGGAGGAAUACCGAUGGCGAAGGCAGCCAUCUGGCCUAAUACUGACGCUGAGGUACGAAAGCAUGGGGAGCAAACAGGAUUAGAUACCCCUGUAGUCCCUGUCUCUUAUAC